rnacentral:lncRNA from 1 species
CCAGGGAUGCAGCUGAAGCAAGCUUUACCCAAUCACCUGUCAAUGGCACAGCUUCCAGUGUGCAGAGAAAACAGCCUGGUAAUGCCUUGAAGAAGAAGGUCUUGAGGAAGCAGGACAAGGUGCCCAGUAUGCCCAUGGUCCAUGAGGAAGACAGAGUCCCAUGCAACUCCUCAGGGAGAAGAAGGAGAAGGGACUCUUCAGCAUCAAACACCUGGCUGAGUCCCAUUCAGAAGUCCUGCUCUCUAGACUUCGUGACAUUUG